rnacentral:rRNA from 1 species
GGGAAUCUUGGACAAUGGGCGCAAGCCUGAUCCAGCGACGCCGCGUGGGUGAUGAAGGUCUUCGGGUUGUAAAGCCCUUUCGACGGGGACGAUGAUGACGGUACCCGGCGAAGAAGCACCGGCUAACUCCGUGCCAGCAGCCGCGGUAAGACGGAGGGUGCUAGCGUUGUUCGGAAUCACUGGGCGUAAAGGGCGCGUAGGCGGCCAGGCAAGUCGGCUUUGUGAAAGCCCGGGGCUCAACCCCGGAACGGCACUCGAUACUCCUGGGCUCGAGGUCGGAAGAGGAGGGUGGAAUACCCAGUGUAGAGGUGAAAUUCGUAGAUAUUGGGUGGAACACCGGUGGCGAAAGCGGCUCUCUGGUCCGAACCUGACGCUGAGGCGCGAAAGCGUGGGGAGCAAA